rnacentral:rRNA from 1 species
GCCAUGGGCAGGUUGAAGGUUGGGUAACACUAACUGGAGGACCGAACCGACUAAUGUUGAAAAAUUAGCGGAUGACCUGUGGCUGGGGGUGAAAGGCCAAUCAAACCGGGAGAUAGCUGGUUCUCCCCGAAAGCUAUUUAGGUAGCGCCUCGUGAAUUCAUCUCCGGGGGUAGAGCACUGUUUCGGCUAGGGGGCCAUCCCGGCUUACCAACCCGAUGCAAACUGCGAAUACCGGAGAAUGUUAUCACGGGAGACACACGGCGGGUGCUAACGUCCGUCGUGAAGAGGGAAACAACCCAGACCGCCAGCUAAGGUCCCAAAGUCAUGGUUAAGUGGGAAACGAUGUGGGAAGGCCCAGACAGCCAGGAUGUUGGCUUAGAAGCAGCCAUCAUUUAAAGAAAGCGUAAUAGCUCACUGGUCGAGUCGGCCUGCGCGGAAGAUGUAACGGGGCUAAACCAUGCACCGAAGCUGCGGCAGCGACACUGUGUGUUGUUGGGUAGGGGAGCGUUCUGUAAGCCUGUGAAGGUGUGUCGUGAGGCAUGCUGGAGGUAUCAGAAGUGCGAAUGCUGACAUAAGUAACGAUAAAGCGGGUGAAAAGCCCGCUCGCCGGAAGACCAAGGGUUCCUGUCCAACGUUAAUCGGGGCAGGGUGAGUCGACCCCUAAGGCGAGGCCGAAAGGCGUAGUCGAUGGGAAACGGGUUAAUAUUCCCGUACUUGGUGUUACUGCGAAGGGGGGACGGAGAAGGCUAUGUUGGCCGGGCGACGGUUGUCCCGGUUUAAGCGUGUAGGUGUGUGUUCCAGGUAAAUCCGGUUCACUUUAACACUGAGGCGUGACGACGAGGCACUACGGUGCUGAAGCAACAAAUGCCCUGCUUCCAGGAAAAGCCUCUAAGCAUCAGGUAACAUCAAAUCGUACCCCAAACCGACACAGGUGGUCAGGUAGAGAAUACCAAGGCGCUUGAGAGAACUCGGGUGAAGGAACUAGGCAAAAUGGUGCCGUAACUUCGGGAGAAGGCACGCUGACACGUAGGUGAAGUGAUUUACUCAUGGAGCUGAAGUCAGUCGAAGAUACCAGCUGGCUGCAACUGUUUAUUAAAAACACAGCACUGUGCAAACACGAAAGUGGACGUAUACGGUGUGACGCCUGCCCGGUGCCGGAAGGUUAAUUGAUGGGGUCAGCGCAAGCGAAGCUCCUGAUCGAAGCCCCGGUAAACGGCGGCCGUAACUAUAACGGUCCUAAGGUAGCGAAAUUCCUUGUCGGGUAAGUUCCGACCUGCACGAAUGGCGUAAUGAUGGCCAGGCUGUCUCCACCCGAGACUCAGUGAAAUUGAACUCGCUGUGAAGAUGCAGUGUACCCGCGGCAAGACGGAAAGACCCCGUGAACCUUUACUAUAGCUUGACACUGAACAUUGAGCCUUGAUGUGUAGGAUAGGUGGGAGGCUUUGAAGUGUGGACGCCAGUCUGCAUGGAGCCGACCUUGAAAUACCACCCUUUAAUGUUUGAUGUUCUAACGUGGACCCGUUACCCGGGUUGCGGACAGUGUCUGGUGGGUAGUUUGACUGGGGCGGUCUCCUCCUAAAGAGUAACGGAGGAGCACGAAGGUUGGCUAAUCCUGGUCGGACAUCAGGAGGUUAGUGCAAUGGCAUAAGCCAGCUUGACUGCGAGCGUGACGGCGCGAGCAGGUGCGAAAGCAGGUCAUAGUGAUCCGGUGGUUCUGAAUGGAAGGGCCAUCGCUCAACGGAUAAAAGGUACUCCGGGGAUAACAGGCUGAUACCGCCCAAGAGUUCAUAUCGACGGCGGUGUUUGGCACCUCGAUGUCGGCUCAUCACAUCCUGGGGCUGAAGUAGGUCCCAAGGGUAUGGCUGUUCGCCAUUUAAAGUGGUACGCGAGCUGGGUUUAGAACGUCGUGAGACAGUUCGGUCCCUAUCUGCCGUGGGCGCUGGAGAACUGAGGGGGGCUGCUCCUAGUACGAGAGGACCGGAGUGGACGCAUCACUGGUGUUCGGGUUGUCAUGCCAAUGGCACUGCCCGGUAGCUAAAUGCGGAAGAGAUAAGUGCUGAAAGCAUCUAAGCACGAAACUUGCCCCGA